CUCUACCCGCCUCUGCUGGAAAACAGGCCGCAGAAUAUAGGUGUUCUCGGGCUCCCCUGCGUUCUUCUCAGCCUCAGGCACCCCGUCGCCCACCGAGAAGGACACUCCGAUGGACGUGGCCAUGCCGGGGCUUCUCGGUCCGGGCGUAGCUCGCGAUGAAGGCCUAGCGGGUUGCGGUCGCGGCCGGCAGCAGGGAAAGCGUCUCCAGGGCAACAGGGCCGCCCUCCCGCCUCGCUGAAGCCCGCGAGCGCCCCGCACAGCCGCCCUCCCUGCCCGCGCCUGCGCACCGGCUGCUGGGCGGGAACUGGUCGCGUCCGGACGCGCGACAGCUUCCACCCGCCUCAGGCAGUAUCAGCCGCGCCGCAGUCGGAGGAAAUAGACGCGGGGCCUGAGGCUCCUGGACUUGAGAAAGGAUUCAAGACAGCCGAUGAUGAAAACACCCAUGCUUGCAAGUGAAGGUUCUGCCUGUCACUUCUCGCAGAGGCUGCAGAAAAGGCCCAGGAGGCUGUUGAUGACAUGAACGACCACCAGGAGAAGCUGGAGCAGGCUGAUGCACAGAAGGGCGGAGAAGAGGGACACGUGCCAGACAACAGCUGCAGAGGGCUCCAGGCAGACGGAGUUCCAGAGCGAACGGUCUUUGAAUGGGUAACCAUAUUUCCAAGCUUGUGUCUGAUUGAAGGAUGAAACAUCAAACAUGCAAAAAGGACCAUCUUUCAGAGCAACUCCAGAAGUGACAAAGCAAAUCAGGGCUCCAAGUAAAGCCAGGCCACCUGACAACAGAGCACCAUUCAGCCUCUGAGCUAAAGAAGAAGCUACCACAGGCCCACCACUGACUCUUCUAAGGAAAAGCUGCAUUUUCAAAAGUUCCAGAGUCAUGGAGUCAUUCUCCCACUGAGGUCAAGCUGGUUUGGAGUUGGGGAGGGAUCAGACAAAGGUGCAUAGUAAGUUUUGACUCUGAGUUAAAGGAGUCAAGAUGAAUCAGUAAGCCUAGGGCAGUGGUUCCCAAAAUGGGGUCCCUGCCCAGCCGCAUCACAUCACCUGAGAACCUGUUAGAAAUGCAAAACUUCCCCGCCAUCCUGAAUCAGAAACUCUGGGGAGGGAGCCCAGCAAUCCGUGUUCCGGCAAAAGCCCUCCAGGUGAUUCUCAUGCACAUUCAAGUGUCAGAACUACGUGCCACGGGGAAAACCAGAAUGAGAACAGACAGUGAAUGAAAUGUGCAAGUGUUUAUUUAUUUAUCUAUGUACUUAUUUAUUUAUUUAUUUUGAAACGGAGUCUCGCUCUGUCGCCCAGGCUGGAGUGCAGUGGCGCCAUCUCGGCUCACUGCAAGCUCCGCCUCCCGGGUUCAAGAGAUUUUCCUGCCUCAGCCUCCUGAGUUGCUGGGAUUACAGGCGCCCACCACCACGCCCAGCUAAUUUUUGUAUUUUUGGUAGAGACGGGGUUUCACCAUGUUGGCCAGGCUGGUCUCAAACUCCUGACCUCAGGUGAUCCGCCCAUCUUGGCCUCCCAAAGUGCUGGGAUUACAGGCGUGAGCCACCGCGCCUGGCCUAUAUUUGAUUUUUUAACAUGUAACUGAGUCAGUGGGCUUCCCAACAUGUGGGCUGCAGAUAUCAGAGCAGGCUGUGGAGUUACCAUAAGGCCACAGAUUCAUGUCUGAGAACGAGUGUGUGUGUGUGUGUG
rnacentral:lncRNA from 1 species